GGGGGUCUGGACUGCUCAGGGUUAGGCUGGGCAUCGGUCAGCGGGUGGAUUUUCUAGGAUGUGUGGCCAUUCAUCCCCUGGGUAACAUCUUUGCCAGAAUAUAAUCAACUGCCCAGUGAGGACAAUGCAAAGCGAGAGUUUGUUUCCACAUCAUCUGGAUAUGACUCUAAAUCUUUCACAAAGGAAUCAGAAAUUGUGGAGUGAGUGCUGGAGAGGAAUGGAAAACAAAGGUAGGCAUCUGCACUUCCCCAAGGAAACCAAAGAAGGAACCUCCACUUCCCCAAAGAGCCCUGCAACCUCUUGCUGUGCACCUGCGACUGCCACUGAAGACUGUCAUUACCUCCCAUUGUCUGCACCUGCAUUCACCUUAAGAUCUCAAAAGCUGCUCUUGGAGUGAAGAAGUAGUGCUGCUCUUGGGAAUGAAGAGUGCUCCUGGGCAAUUCUUCUUCACAGGCAGCUGUGUAACCCAGCUUUCCAAUUAAGUGCAGAAAUGCUGAGUUUCCCUGUGAUCUAAAGGGAUUUACAGUCCAAGACUGUGAGCUAAGUUAGGGUGCUGUGGAAAGGAAGUGACUGUAGAGCAGCAGAUGAAGGGAAGGAAAUGAGGUAACUUAAAUAAGGAAAAUACUUGAGCAUGUAUUGCCUGUGCUGUUUUUAUGUAUUUUUAUGUAGUGCUGUAGAUCAAUGCACUCCUGGAAUAACAGGGUUAUCACAGAUUGCCAAUAAUACAUCAUAAUAAGAGAGGUGUACUUCCUGUCAUUUGAUUUUCCUCAGACUACCAAAAAAGCCUAGGAAUUAGAUCUUCAAAGGUAUCACGUGAUAGCACACUCACUUUUUCCAAUACAGCAAAAAAAGAUCAAUUUGCUUUCUGAUGAAAGUGAAUGCAGCAGCAGUACCUCUGUAUAACCUUCUAUUAAAUACUGCUGAAUGGAUACAUUUUCUCUGUGAGGUUUAUCUCUUUCUUCUGAGUGAUGGAUUCUGACACAUGUUCUCAAACUGAACCCUGACUGCUCUCUCCUAAUAUUAUUUACCAAAUUGUGACUACUUUCACA